AACGAACGCUGGCGGCAUGCCUAACACAUGCAAGUCGAACGAGACCGUCGGGUCUAGUGGCGCACGGGUGCGUAACGCGUGGGAACCUUCCCUUAGGUUCGGAAUAACUCCCCGAAAGGGGUGCUAAUACCGGAUAAUAUCUUCUGCCCCAAGAUUUAUCGCCUCGGGAUGGGCCCGCGUUGGAUUAGCUAGUUGGUAGGGUAAAAGCCUACCAAGGCGACGAUCCAUAGCUGGUCUGAGAGGAUGAUCAGCCACACUGGGACUGAGACACGUCCCAGACUCCUACGGGAGGCAGCAGUGGGGAAUAUUGGACGAUGGGCGAAAGCCUGAGCUAGCAAGGCCGCGUGAGUGAUGAGGGCCUUAGGGUUGUAAAGCUCUUUGAACCGGGAUGAUAAUGACAGUACCGUGAGAAUAAGCGCCGGCUAACUACGUG
rnacentral:rRNA from 1 species